GACGAACGCUGGCGGCGUGCUUAACACAUGCAAGUCGAACGAAGUGGCGAACGGGUGAGUAACGCGUAAUCAACCUGCCCUUCAGAGGGGGACAACAGUUGGAAACGACUGCUAAUACCGCAUACUGAAGGAGGGGAUUGCGUCUGAUUAGGUAGUUGGAGGGGUACCGGCGCACCAAGGCGAUGCUCAGUAGCCGGUCGGAGAGGAUGACCGGCGACAUUUGGACUGAGACACGGGCCAGACUCCUACGGGAGGCAGCAGUGGGGAAUCUUCGGAAAUGGGGGGAACCCUGACCGAGCAACGCCGCGUGAGUGAAGAAGGUUUUCGGAUCGUAAAGCUCUGUUGUUAAGGAGGCGGUACUUAACCAGAAAGGGACGGCUAACUACGUGCCAGCAGCCGCGGUAAUAC
rnacentral:rRNA from 1 species